ACGCGGGCCGUGAUGACCGCUCCCAUGUGUUCUGCAUGGGGGAGGAAAGUCCGGGCUCCAAAGGAUAGCGCACCCAGAUAACGCUGGGUCCUUCGUGCCCGAAGGAAACCUCGGACGCGGGGGAGAUCAGAGCCACAGAGACGAGCCUCUUUGGUGAGGAGUGAAACGGGCAUUCUCUGCGCGGAGCAAGGCCAAAUAGGAGGAGAGCUCUCGCCGUCGCGAUCAGGGCAGGCGCAUCAGCUGCCCUGACCCUGACAGACCGGUCGAGGCGCGGGACGGUCCGUCCCGUUCGGAUCCUCGGGUAGGCCGCAAGAGUCCCGGGAGCGAUCCCGGGAGUCAGGCAGAUGGUCAUCCUUCCGCCGGAAGGCGGAAGAACAGAACCCGGCUUAGGCGGCCCGCGGAUAU
rnacentral:RNase_P_RNA from 1 species